GGGUUGUGAGGUUAAGCGACUAAGCGUACACGGUGGAUGCCCUGGCAGUCAGAGGCGAUGAAGGACGUGCUAAUCUGCGAUAAGCGCCGGUAAGGUGAUAUGAACCGUUAUAACCGGCGAUUUCCGAAUGGGGAAACCCAGUGUGAUUCGUCACACUAUCAUUAACUGAAUCCAUAGGUUAAUGAGGCGAACCGGGGGAACUGAAACAUCUAAGUACCCCGAGGAAAAGAAAUCAACCGAGAUUCCCCCAGUAGCGGCGAGCGAACGGGGAGGAGCCCAGAGCCUGAAUCAGCAUGUGUGUUAGUGGAAGCGUCUGGAAAGGCGCGCGAUACAGGGUGACAGCCCCGUACACAAAAGCGCAUGUGCUGUGAGCUCGAUGAGUAGGGCGGGACACGUGGUAUCCUGUCUGAAUAUGGGGGGACCAUCCUCCAAGGCUAAAUACUCCUGACUGACCGAUAGUGAACCAGUACCGUGAGGGAAAGGCGAAAAGAACCCCGGCGAGGGGAGUGAAAAAGAACCUGAAACCGUGUACGUACAAGCAGUGGGAGCACAGGUUUACCUGUGUGACUGCGUACCUUUUGUAUAAUGGGUCAGCGACUUAUAUUCUGUAGCAAGGUUAACCGUAUAGGGGAGCCGUAGGGAAACCGAGUCUUAA
rnacentral:rRNA from 1 species